rnacentral:rRNA from 1 species
UGGUUGUCGUCCGCUCGUGUCGUGAGAUGUUGGGUUAAGUCCCGCAACGAGCGCAACCCUUGUCCUUAGUUGCCAGCAUUUGGUUGGGCACUCUAGGGAGACUGCCGGUGACAAACCGGAGGAAGGUGGGGAUGACGUCAAAUCAUCAUGCCCCUUAUGAGUUGGGCUACACACGUGCUACAAUGGACGGUACAAAGGGCAGCGAAGCCGCGAGGUGGAGCCAAUCCCAGAAAGCCGUUCUCAGUUCGGAUUGCAGGCUGCAACUCGCCUGCAUGAAGUCGGAAUCGCUAGUAAUCGCAGGUCAG